rnacentral:lncRNA from 1 species
GGGAAAACCUCGUCAUCCAAGCAUUGAUACAAUAAUGAGUGCGUCCAGGAAAAGCCAAGAUACNCCAAGUGUGCCAACUCCUUACAAACAAACAAAAGNAGAUACCAUGAUGUAUGCCAUGGUGGACUUGUUGAAUAAUGAUAAGGAGAUCAACGCAGUAUACGCCCAGGUUGAUAAGAAGCACAAGAAGUGAAGGUGCAUAUAUAUAAUAAGUUGUUUUGUGGGGAAUUACAAAAACAUUUGAGACCAUAUAACGGUUGAUCCCAUGAAAACGGAAAAGUAAUGCAGCAACAACAGCAGCAACACAACUAACUAGCAGCAAUAUCAAUUACAAUAGUAGCAGCACCAACAGUAGCAACAACAACAGCAACAUCAUCAACAGGAAAAAAGCCGCAGCAAAAACCUUAUAAAUAACAACACCAAAACAAACAAUAUCAACACCAACAGCAAAAACAUUUAAGAAGAACGUUGUGCUCGCUUUUAGCUAGUUGACAUCAUGUCCUAGUUGCAUCUUAUAUAGUUAUGUUCUUUAACUGACAUCGAGGUCUCUCCUGGCCUGAGCCCGGUUAUACGAAGGGUAGAUAUAGCGAUAUCCAGUGGAUAAGACGAUGCUGUUAUCCAACAAAUUUAUCCACUGGAUAAUGUUUAUCCGCUGGCUAGCGCUAUCCAAUCUUCGUACAACCGGGUCAAGAUGAACAGCUUGGACAAUAAAUUUGAGUUAAGGUACCGAGUAAUGUGAUAAAUCUUUAUUUUGUGUUCAAAAACUGCUCGCAAACCACCGAGACGUUAUUACAAGCACGGAACAGUAUUGGCAACAUUAUGCAUAACACUUUCGUAGAAUAGGUUCCACAAAACAUAGCUAGAAAACAUGAAGCUGAAAAAGAAUGAUCGAAGUAUGUUAUUUUCUUCUAGAAUUUGAUCGCAAGCUAAUACGCCCUACUCAUUCAGAAACUGAUGUUAUUUUUUUAUUUGGCUGAUACUUAUUCAAAUUGGCAACCAGACUAUGUAUUACUGAAUUAGAUAAUCGAUAAUAAAGUACUUAGUGAGAAAACCAAUUGUUCAAAUAAUCGACGAAUUAACAUCACAAUGGCAACAUGANGUCCAGCGUUAUUAAACACAUUUUCGUACUUCCAUUCCCAUCCCUCCCCCCAAAAGGUAUGAUUUGUCCUCAUGAUGUACCGCUACAACUAUUAGAAUUCCCCUUGUUUUAAAAGACCAACUACUCCUUCAUUUGAUUCCCACCCCCAAAAGGUAUGAUUUGUCCUCAUGAUGUACCGCUACAACUAUUAGAAUUCCCCUUGUUUUAAAAGACCAACUACUCCUUCAUUUGUUUCCAACCCCCAAAAGGUAUGAUUUGUCCUCAUGAUCUACCGCUACAACUAUUAGAAUUCCCCUUGUUUUAAAAGACCAACUACUCCUUCAUUUGUUUCCCGUCCCCCUCCCCCCACAUUAAAAUAUGAAAAUAUCGUCCAAUCAUUUCUCUCAUGAGGAUCUUUCGAAACCUAAUCCGCGCUUCAGAAAAUGAAACUGAAGUAAAAUGUCUGAAGGGAAACACACGAGGUGUUGGCUUACUAGCUCUAUCUCGAUAGAAGCAGAACNAACCACAGUAUCUACAAAACUGGAACACUUUCGAUGUGCACUUUGAUUGACAUCUAAGGAAUAAAAGCAAACCACAUCGAAACUAAGCAUUUGUACAUCAGCAAAAUGCUUCUACGAUGAACCAAAUUUCCAAUCUUCCGUCCUCAUUUCCUUUAUAUAAGGUAUACAACAANAACAGAUCUAGAGAUGAAUUAUUUAUCUCCAAAAAUCGUCUUCCAGUUGCAAGUGUUAAUAGUUUGUGGGGCUUCUAUGGUGGUUUCAAAUUCAAACGGUUCAAGUUCCUAAAAACUGUGCUAUAUCCAUUGAUUAUGAUCAUCAUAAUAGUAUCUUCUUUUAGACAACAAAUUACAAUGGCGUACCGAGUCAGGCUAUGGGGACAUGUCCUCCUGCGUUCUGAAAUCCGAGGAGAUUAUUUUAAAUGCACCUAACCCCUGAUACAAUAAUUUUGGUAUUGAUUUUACAUGAAGUGAAUAGUCGAAUGAUAAAGCACUUGCAUAUGA